GAUGAACGCUGGCGGCGUGCCUAAUACAUGCAAGUCGAGCGAACAGACGAGGAGCUUGCUCCUCUGACGUUAGCGGCGGACGGGUGAGUAACACGUGGAUAACCUACCUAUAAGACUGGGAUAACUUCGGGAAACCGGAGCUAAUACCGGAUAAUAUAUUGAACCGCAUGGUUCAAUAGUGAAAGACGGUUUUGCUGUCACUUAUAGAUGGAUCCGCGCCGCAUUAGCUAGUUGGUAAGGUAACGGCUUACCAAGGCGACGAUGCGUAGCCGACCUGAGAGGGUGAUAGGCCACACGGGAACUGAGACACGGUCCAGACUCCUACGGGAGGCAGCAGUAGGGAAUCGUCCGCAAUGGGCGAAAGCCUGACGGAGCAACGCCGCGUGAGUGAUGAAGGUCUUCGGAUCGUAAAACUCUGUUAUUAGGGAAGAACAAAUGUGUAAGUAACUAUGCACGUCUUGACGGUACCUAAUCAGAAAGCCACGGCUAACUACGUG
rnacentral:rRNA from 1 species